rnacentral:misc_RNA from 1 species
AAGAGUAUGACCGGGAACCGACGGGCUUAACGGCUCGCCGCUCCCGGUACCCUCCAACCCUCUGUUGUUAUAACUACUUCGUUGCUUUGGCGGGACCGUUUGGUUCUCCGAGCGCACCAGUCUCCGGACAGGUGAGCGCCCGCCAGAGUCUAACCAAACUCUUGUUUUUAACCAGUCGUCUGAGUAUAAAAUUUUAAUUAAAUUA